rnacentral:rRNA from 1 species
CUACGGGAGGCUGCAGUGGGGAAUUUUGCGCAAUGGGCGAAAGCCUGACGCAGCAACGCCGCGUGCGGGAUGAAGGCCUUCGGGUCGUAAACCGCUUUCAGCAGGGAAGAAGUUGACUGUACCUGCAGAAGAAGCUCCGGCUAACUACGUGCCAGCAGCCGCGGUAAUACGUAGGGAGCGAGCGUUAUCCGGAUUUAUUGGGCGUAAAGCGCGCGUAGGCGGCUUGCCAAGCGGGAUCUCAAAACCGAGGGCUCAACCCCCGGACGGAUCCCGAACUGGCAGGCUCGAGUUCGGUAGGGGAAGAUGGAAUUCCCAGUGUAGCGGUGAAAUGCGCAGAGAUUGGGAAGAACACCGAUGGCGAAGGCAGUCUUCUGGGCCGCAACUGACGCUGAGGUGCGAAAGCUAGGGGAGCGAACAGGAUUAGAUACCCUGGUAGUC